AGCUCCAAUAGCGUAUAUUAAAAUUGUUGCGGUUAAAAAGCUCGUAGUUGGAUUUCUGCUGAGGACGACCGGUCCGCCCUCUGGGUGAGUAUCUGGCUUGGCCUUGGCAUCUUCUUGGAGAACGUAGCUGCACUUGACUGUGUGGUGCGGUAUCCAGGACUUUUACUUUGAGGAAAUUAGAGUGUUUCAAGCAGGCACACGCCUUGAAUACAUUAGCAUGGAAUAAUAAGAUAGGACCUUGGUUCUAUUUUGUUGAAUUCUAGAGCUGAGGUAAUGAUUAAUAGGGAUAGUUGGGGGCAUUCGUAUUUAACUGUCAGAGGUGAAAUUCUUGGAUCUGUUAAAGACAGACUACUGCGAAAGCAUUUGCCAAGGAUGUUCUCAUUG
rnacentral:rRNA from 1 species